rnacentral:rRNA from 1 species
UACGGAGGGUGCGAGCGUUGUCCGGAAUCACUGGGCGUAAAGGGCGCGUAGGCGGCCUGAUAAGUAGGGGGUGAAAUCCUGCGGCUUAACCGCAGGGCUGCCUUCUAGACUGUCAGGCUAGAGCACAGUAGAGGCAGGUGGAAUUCCCGGUGUAGCGGUGGAAUGCGUAGAUAUCGGGAAGAACACCAGUGGCGAAAGCGCUCUACUGGGCCAUAACUGACACUGAGGGACGAAAGCUAGGGGAGCGAAAGGG